UACGUAGGGCGCAAGCGUUGUCCGGAAUUAUUGGGCGUAAAGAGCUCGUAGGUGGCUUGUCACGUCGGGUGUGAAAGCCCGGGGCUUAACCCCGGGUCUGCAUUCGAUACGGGCAGGCUAGAGUGUGGUAGGGGAGAUCGGAAUUCCUGGUGUAGCGGUGAAAUGCGCAGAUAACAGGAGGAACACCGGUGGCGAAGGCGGAUCUCUGGGCCAUUACUGACGCUGAGGAGCGAAAGCGUGGGGAGCGAACAGG
rnacentral:rRNA from 1 species